rnacentral:rRNA from 1 species
CUACGGAGGGUGCAAGCGUUAUCCGGAUUCAUUGGGUUUAAAGGGUACGUAGGCGGAUAGAUAAGUUAGUGGUGAAAUCCCGAAGCUCAACUUCGGAACUGCCAUUAAAACUGUCUAUCUUGAAUUUGGUUGAAGUGGGCGGAAUAUGACAUGUAGCGGUGAAAUGCAUAGAUAUGUCAUGGAACACCGAUAGUGAAGACAGCUCACUAAGCCAAUAUUGACGCUGAGGUACGAAAGCAUGGGUAGCGAACAGGAUUAGAUACCCUAGUAGUCC